UACGGGGGGGGCAAGCGUUGUUCGGAAUUACUGGGCGUAAAGGGCUCGUAGGUGGCCAACUAAGUCAGACGUGAAAUCCCCAGGCUUAACCUGGGAACUGCGUCUGAUACUGGAUGGCUUGAAUUCGGGAGAGGGAUGCAGAAUUCCAGGUGUAGCGGUGAAAUGCGUAGAUAUCUGGAGGAAUACCGGUGGCGAAGGCGGCAUCCUGGACCGAGAUUGACACUGAUGAGCGAAAGCCAGGGGAGCAAACGGGAUUAGAUACCCCGGUAGUCCUGGCCCUAAACGAUGAAUGCUUGGUGUGACGGGUAUCGAUCCCUGUCGUGCCGAAGCUAACGCAUUAAGCAUUCCGCCUGGGGAGUACGGUCGCAAGGCUG
rnacentral:rRNA from 1 species